rnacentral:lncRNA from 1 species
AUUCUGACGGGAGACUACUCCUCCCAGAGGAGGAUGCCUUGUGUGAACAACUGCAGCCCCUGCACAGACGGGGCUGGGAUCUUUCCGUUGUUUUUACUUUUUUGUUUCUUAAAAUUAUGUUCAUGAGCUGGAGAGGUGGUUAAGAGCACUUAGUGCUGUUCCAGAGGACCGGAGUUCAACUGCCAGGACCCAGACAGUCUCCCACUGCUGUUUCAGUUAGACUGCACAGCUGGUCAGCUCUUGGAAUCUGCCAGCUCUACCACCCUGCAGCACUACCUACAGACAGGUGCCUCCCUGCCUACUUUUUAUGUGAUUUCUGGGAACAGAACUCAGGACCUCAUGCUUGCCCAGCAAGCCUUUUACCCAAGCCAUCUCUCAGCUCCAGAGCUGAGUGUCAGUGAAAAUGGAUAACAUGGUGACAAUAUAGCAGCUAGAGCACCUCUAAGUUCUAGGAGCACAUACAACCCAGCCAGCGAUGUCUGAUGCCCUGUGCACUCUGCAAACUAAGAAAUGGAACCUCUCCAAGGUCAGGAGACGUGUCGACCUGUAGAUCUGAACCCAAGCCCUGAAUCUUCUCAAGUAUUCAUCAUAUUAAUUAACAAAGCAUAGCUGGUAUCCCUGUUUUUCACUUUUAUGAAGUAUAUAAGCUAGAAACCUUUUCAUUUCACUGUUCUUUGAUAAUCUAGAUCAACCAAAGAGACAGAUUUUUGUUUCCUAAGUUAUUUCAAUUAAAAAUUUUAAGACAUUAGAGCUAAUAUAAAAUAAAAAGAGGAAACAAAAUUCCCAUUUGUCCUUGGGCCAAAUACAAGCCUACUUGUCAAACUGCCAGUAUUUUUGAGGGAAGUAUGAGCUAAUGGGGAGCAAACCAGGACACCUGACAAGAGCGUGCACACAAGACAAACUGACCCUGUGAGGAAGAGUUAAGGCUCGGCUCAGCUACCUCACCAAGGUAGGAGAGACUGAAGGAAUGCAUGAGAACCCCUGCUGAGCCUUCCUCCAAGGAGGAAAGUUAGUUAGGGGGGAAGUUUCGUGUACUCUCACAGAAAAAGAAAGUGAGGGGCUGAGAAAGUGGCUAGAGAGCGGCUGAAGGAAGAAGCGGAUAUUUCCAAACCAGGUGAGGACAGCAAACAAAAAGAACCAGCUAUCAGCAGCGCUUGGUGGCUGGGCAUCUGCAGACCCGCUCACACUCCCAGUUGGCUGCCCCUCUGGAGGAAAGCAGAGUUCCCAAGGCCUCGGGAGGACACCUCUUACCAGGAGCUGGCCAUAAGGGGCAGGGGAGGGCUGACAAAAGAAGGGAAGUGAGGGUUUUGUUUUUAUUUCUGUAACUAAAUUACUUACAUAUACUUUUAAAACAAAGCUAACUUCCAGAUCCUAGGACAGAGGUAACUGUGCCCAGCGAUAUUUUUCUGUUUGUACCAUGAUACACUAAAGGAAUAAGUUACUCCCUGGAGAUUAUAAAGAGAGGUCUACUUGUCUUUUUCUCUGAAACUAAGAGUUCUUCAGUCUGUGAACACUCUUCAUGGGUCUGGACAGCCUUCUGGAUCUAAUGCAAGUCUGAACCUUCUCCCGGAUAAUAUACACAUAUACCCAUAUACACAUAUACCCAUAUACACAAUGUUUAUAUUGGCAUUUAAUUUUAUAAUCUCCUAAAGCCUAACAAUACGCCUUCUUUAGACAUUCCAAUUUGUUCUUCAUGGCCUGGGGUUUGAGUGUUGUCUAUAAAUAUUACAUACG